GGACCGCCCCACCUGCCUUCCCCAGCUUCCCUCCCUCUAGCAGAGUCCCAGGUGUUCCCCCUCGGCAUCCCGGACUCAGCUACAAAACACAGGCCUGGGGUGUUCUCUGGGAUGGCUAGAUCCGUCCACCCUGGCUUCACAUCAGAAUCAUCUGGGGACCCUUAAAAAAUACCGAGGCCUGAAUCCCACUCUGGGUCAAUUAAAUCAGAUGUUCUGGGAGGGGCCUGUGAUUUUUGGACGAGGAGACCGAGGUCAUGAGCAGGUUUCCCAACCCAGACUCCUUGGACUGUCAUGACUUUCAUUCCUAGAUAUGGUAAUGCGGGGGGGAGUUAUGUACUUCUGGUCAGUAUUUUAGAAAGCUUAAUGGAAAUUAUGCCUUAGUCUGUGGUUAGAACACAUGGGCUGCUACUUAGUAAAUGUAAAUUGCUUAGAAGACAAAAAGCUUUUAAAACCCCAGAGCUCAUGGAAGAAAAAUAAUAAAGGGGUCACUGGUCAAGCUUUUAUAUUUAAAAAAAGGUUGGGGGGCUGGCCUGGUUACAUAGUGGUUAAAGUCAUGUGCUCUGCUUUGGUGGCCCAGGGUUUGCAGGUUCAGAUCCCAAGUGCGGACCUACACACCACUCAUCAAGCCAUGCUGUGGUGGUGUCCCAUAUAUGAAGUAGAGGAAGGUUGGCACAGAUGUUAGUCUUCCUCAAGCAAAAAGAGGAGGAUUGGCAACAGAUGUUAGCUCAGCACCAAUCUUCCUCACACACACACACACACACACACACACACCCACAAAAGGUUGGGAAGCAUGGCCUUAAAACUCCCCCACUGAGACCCUUGCAACCUUGUCUAAAUCCUCACUCUCUGGCACUCCGAGGUUCUGGUCACUGGGUCUGGCAUUGUCAGAAACGCCAAUGGACUGAACCCAAAGUACUGUGUAGGAAAGGCCUCACCCACUGCCCAGAUGUGGGGCUCUGAGUGAAUGCCCAGGGGCAUGUGGUGGAGCCUAGAAUGUCCCGUCCUGGGGGUGGGAGGAUUCAGGCCUUACAGAUGGAUCUGAUUGUUGUGCUCCUUGGAGAAGAAAAGUGGAGGAGUGCAGGGUCCAGAGCACAGGCACCUGAGGGUGCAAGCGAGCACGUCCUUUAAUGCAGUGAUUCCUCCCGCUGGGGAGCCGUGGCUGGUGGCUGGCAGCGGCUCACCAGUGUUCAGUCCUCUUUCCUAGAGAAAGAGGAAACAGAAUGUUUCUUCCCACAUUCCCUGGAGUAGGCUGAAUAAUGUCCCCGAAGAUGUCCACAUCCCAAUCCUCAGAAUCUGAAUUAUCCUGGAUUAGCCAGGUGGCCAAAUUUAAUCAGGAGGGUCCCUUAAGAGGGGUCAGGAGACUCAGCGUCAGAGGGGAGAUGUGACUAUGGAAACAGAGCUCAGAGUGAUGUGCCCACAAGCCAAGGAAUGGAGGCAGCCUCUUGAAGCUGGAGAAAGUGAGAACUAGAUUGUCCCCUAGAGAUUCCAGAAAGAGCCAGUUCUGCCAACACCUUGACUUUAGCCUAAUGAGACUGAUUUUAGACUUCUGACCUCAAGAAGAUUAGAAGAGUUCCUGGUAAUAGUCAUAAUGCUUUUUAUAGCUAAUUUUUUUUCAUUAGUUAAAAAAAAAAUCAACACUUGAAUAUGGUCCACACUUGAAAGGUAGAAAAGGGUAUAUAAUGCAAAGAGACGCUCUCCUCUCCUGUCUUCCAGCCACCAGAUUCUUCCCCUCCCUCGAAGGAACUGGAGUUAACUGGUUUCUUGGGGAUACUUCCAGAGUAAUUCUGUGCAUACACAAGCAUAUAUAUACACAUAUGCACACUUUGUACAAAUAAUAGCAUGUUAUACACAAUAUUACACACUUUCUUUACAUUAUUGUGGAGCUAAUUCUGUAUCAGAAUAUAGUGCUGAUUCUUGUUUUUAAUGGAUUAAUUUCCUUUUUAUGUAUGUAUCAUCAUUUAUUCACCAGUCACUUAGUGAUGGCAUUUGGGUCAUUUCCAAUCUCUGUCUAGUCGGUGCGACACUACAGUGGCUAUCCUAGGAACACUGCAUUUGGUGUCUGUGUGAGAUUUCCACAGAAUAAAAUCCUAGACGUGGGGUGGCUCUACCAAAGGGCAUGGGCAUUUUUCCGUUUGGAUGGAUAUUGCUGACUUGCCCCCCUUAGAGAGGGCUCCAAUUCACACUGCCGGCAGCAAUGUUUGAAAGUGUCUGUCCCCAGCCCCUGCCAACACAGUAGGUCAGCUGACUUCAUCUUCUUGAGCAACUUGACAGGUGAAAACUUGGAGACCUUGAUCAACUCGGAAAAUGGGGUCCAGAGAAGAACUGGGUCUCUGGGAGAGUCGCUGGUGUCCAAUACUGGAAGGCUUCCUGCCUGGUGUCCUCAGGCAGCUGCACACCCACCUAGGCCGUGGUGCCUCUGAACCAAGACCAGCACCCCCUCUUCCCAACUUGGCCCUCAGCAAUCCUGGAGCUUGCAUUGUCAUGAAGACUGGCCAAAUGGUCAGCAACUGAAACAGGAAACUCACAAAGAGAAGUUUUGAAUCCUUCGUGCAAAAUAGAUUCUCUCCUAAGGCUUCCGUCAUGGGUUACCUGCGGGGUCUCCUUCAGAGCACGGCUCAAAGGUGGUCGGGAGGGUGCUGUGUGUACCUGCCUCUUGGGCAACUUGUAAACAGGGUCAUAGGAAGUGGUAGCCAUCCCCCAAAACGGAUCCUGUCAUUAGGAGAUAGUGUCUGAGGUGUCGGUUAAAGAAUCCAGCUGGCAGAGGGUGGAGAUAAUUUCCUAAUUGAAACCGAGAGAGACAAAGAAGAGAGAGGUUUGAUUUGGUGUAACAUUCCCACCUCCUUCAUUUCUCCAAUUAAAAAUCCUGCCUGUUGGUUGCCUUGUGUGGGCUGCUGAUCCGCCGGACGAAGAAAAGGCAGCAGAUUGCAUGUGAAUUUCAAAGUCAUCUUUAAAGAGAUCAGUCGAUCCACUCUUGAUGCCUCUAUUAAAAAUGAGUGAGUCAUAUUGUUCGUCUUCUCCCCAACAGCCGUGAAACUGUUAACUCUCUGAGUUAUCAGAGAAAACAUCCCUGCUCCCCAAACUUUGUUCCAAGUCAACAGUGAAAUUAAUUUUCCAGGGACCUUUGUGCUCAUGACAUCAUAGCAUCGCUGUUCAACGUACAGAUGGAGGAAAGGGCAACACACGUUAAAAUACGUCGAUUCCACCUGAUGAGCAACGUCAGCCCAAAGCUCUUCUUAGCUCUGCGCCAAAAACGUGUGAGGACACAGCGAGGCAACUCACCAGAUAAAUACAAAUGGCUAACAAAGAAGAAGAGUUCACCCUCUGUAGAUAUUCAAGUGUGCAAAUCAGAACAGCACCAAGAUGCUUCUCUUUUGUCUCCUGUUUUUGUCUCCAAACUAUUGAAGCUAUUUGAAAAUAAUUUCCAAUAUUGGUAAGGUAUAAGGAUAAUUACCAUAGCGUUACUAAUAAAAAGAGCCAACACCAUGAUGUUUACUAUGAGCUAGGACUUUUCAAAAGAUGUUGAAAAAAAAUAACAACUCAUUUAAUUCUCACCUCAACUCUAUGAGUUGGAUAGCAUUAUUACUCCCAUUGUAAGCUUGAAGAAACUGAGACAUGGAGAGGUUAAGCGACCUGCCUAAGGUCACACAGCUAAGAAGUGGGUGCCAGCACCUCCCAAUAGAGAUGUUGGAGACGUGUCACUGCCACGAGUGUCUCCUGAGGCUGGAAGAACAGUGGAAGGAGACUUGAUUAGGAGCCAACGACACCAUUCCCUGUUCCAUGGCCUUGGGCACGUUAUGCAACUUCUUGGAGUUUUGAUUUCUUUACCUGAACAAUGGGGAUGAUGUUACUUACCUCAAAGAGAAUUGAGAAGAUCAAAUAUGAUAUAAUACUAUAUAAUAUAAUAUAAUCAAAUAUAAUAGUUUGGCCCUUUGCUAACUCUAGAAUCCUAGGCAAGAUACUGGAGCUAAGACUCAGCCCCCUGCUCUUCUGCGUCUCUGUCAAUUAAGCAAGUGAGCCUGUGUGUUUGAGGAAUAAAGAUCUCAAAGGGUCCAUUUAAGUUGUCAAAAUCACAAGGCUAAAUAAACUUUGGCAAAUUGUCCCUAAAAUGCUUUAACAUAUGCUAAGCUUUUUGCGUGAGCAGUUCCCAUCCUUCUCCAGGAACCCAUCCAGUUUUAACAUGCUUUGAUUCUAUUUUUUCUGAGUUUAUUAUUAUCUAGAGGAUUCCAUUAAAGGCAAGUAACUCUUAAAGUCACACUGUAUCAAAUGAAUUUUCCUUUAGAUGAACUGCCUUACGUAAAUAAAAUGGCUCCUUCUAGACGGAGAGCCAAAGCAAGAGCUUGCUUUUAGGCGCCUAUGUUUUUGCCUAAAAAGAGAAUCUGACUAGCAGCUGUGCCAUUUCCAACCAUUUUAAACAAGGGAAGCUUGCCUUGUCUCCUCCACUGGAAGGGAGGCCUGGUGAUGAGAAAUGCAAGCACAUGGUUCAGCCCACAGAAUCAACACAAGAUGUAGUCAUAAUUUACGAGCCACCCACUACCAACAAAAUUUAGAGGUGACUUAGAAUAAAAAUACGCUCUCAUGCUGAGUUGUUAAAAAGGAACUAGAAGGUCAAAGCUCAUGUAAAUUGGCAGUUCUUAGACUUUUGGGGAUCACAGAACUUUUGAGAACCUGAUAAAAGCUAAGGAGAACUUUCCAGAAAAAUGCAUAUCCACAGAAAAGUUUGUGGGCAAUUUCAGGAGACCCCAGAUUAAGAAUAUCUGGCAAGGAGAGAGAGGGAGAGGGAGAUGAGAAAUAUACUAAAACCUCAACUAAUGUGUUUUCUUUGUUUAAGCCUUGAAUUUUGUCCUGGACUUUAAGGUACAUGCAGGACCAGCUGUAGAGUUUGCUGGACGCAGUGCCAAAUGAAAAUGUGGGGGCUCCUUGCUCUAAAAUUAUUAAGAAUUUUGAGACAGCAAUAGCAGAGUAUUAAACCAAGCAUGGGGUCCUUCUGCAGGGUCACGUGCCUGUGAAGCUGGCCCUGGGCACAUGAGGCAAAGAGGCACAGUGGGUUCUUCUGGUCUGUUUUUGAAAUGAUAGCUUAUAAAAUGCAAUAUCCUGCAUUGAGAAAUGUUUGGUGAACUUGGUAUUAUAAUUUUCCUUGAAACUCCAAUAUGCUCAUCAUAUUUAUGGUGGAUAAGCCAAAAAAAAUUAAAAAACAACCGAAAAAUCCAGCAACAGUCCAUCUGUUUCCCUGCUUAGGCCAAUAUUGAACUGUUAGCAAGAAAUGCAGCACCUCCCUCCAGAGUAGACAGCUGUGGGCAGAUUAGCAGAAAACACACUAUUUGGCAGCAUGACAAACAUCCCCUGCAAGCUGCUCCACCAGGCCAGCUGUACUGGGGUAUCUGAGAUGCAUCACCUUUAAAGUCUGAGGCUUAUGAAUUGUGACCUCUGUCACAGUUUUGUGUUUAUCAGAGUAUCACAUACACAGGGUGUAAAAAAAUGAACAUUUCCCAACGACUUAUAUGAAAAAAUAGCUGUCCCUUAACCUACUACCCUCUACCUUCCAUCCUUCUUUCCAGAACUUUCAACUCUUGAGCUGUUUCUUGUGGUAUUUACCAUCAUUUUUCUAGAUAAGGUGCUUAGCUGCAAUUUUUGGAUUUAUCAGUUUUCGUCAUCAUCUGUUGACUUCUGGAAGUAGAUAUUUGUUAUUUGUAGUGUCUUGGUAUUUUUUGAACACUCUUCGUCUUCUGGUCAUUUCCUGUAUUCUUAAGAUAGAAGCUCUAAAAAUUGCAUUCUCAGCCUGCCUUACAGCUGGGGUGCGGGAAUGUAAUUUAGACUUCAUCAAUCAGAUGCACCUGCUUGAGUUUUGAUUCCGAAGUGAGCACAUGAGGAAAGGAGCCUGCAGGGGAGGGAGACUUCUGGAACCCACAGUGGUGUAGGGUCUGGGUUUUGUGAGGCUGAAGGGGCAGGGCCUCUGAUGCACGGUCCCAGGAUCAGUGGUGUGCUGUGCUGGCUGCAGUGUGGAUACCAGGCACUGGAGAGAGAGGGGCAUCCACCAGGCAGCCUGUAGUGUGUUAGAUAUUGUUUCUGGAGAUUCUGAAACACUAUGUGCAUUGACAACCUCAUUUCCUGCUUUAGCAAACCAGUGUUGAGUCUGUUGUUUGCAACUAGGAGCCUUGACUGACACACUCGGUGGAUGAAGCUGUGACUCUCUCACUCUGCUCCCCAUCUCCCACUGUGGUCCCAUCAUCAUUUUUGGUUAAAUCAGUCUUCAGUGUUUGCACGAUGAGGACCACAAAAACGUUGUUUACCGCUGAGCCAAGUUGCAUAUUAUGUGUAAUAGGGUGUUAAAAUGGGACCCUUUUUUUCUUCCUUUUGAUUUAGGCUGAAUCUCCAAGACAAUAGAUGCUACUGAUUCCCACAUUUCAAAGUGAGGCAUGAGGCUACCUGAGCAGGUCUUGCAAUGGAGACUCCAAUAACUGGAUUCUUCUCUUAGCUGACCACUCAGCUGCAGCCUAUAAGAAAGGCUGUAGAAGACUAGUGAGUUGCAGAUUAGAUGAAUAUUUUUGGAGAGAGUGUCAGAAUGCUGAGAAUCCUAACACCAACACUCCUCCCACUCACCCCCACACCAACACAGAAGAGGUGAGAGAUACUUUUCCGUCCCUUCCAGCCCAGGGAAAGAGGCUUCAGGUGGUCCCCUCAGAGCCUGAUACAAGUUGCCAAGAGCUUGAGGGAACUUAGUGGGUGCUGUCUGACUCAGUCCUGGAAAAUAUAAAGCUGCAUUCCUGUGGCUCUGAGGAUGCGGACAGAAGAGGCGGCAGCCUUGGGAAUGCCUUCCCAGUUUGUCAGAGCAAAGGUUGAAGGGCAAUGUCUCCUGGGCCAGAUGGCCCACAUGAGAGAGGUCACCUUAUGUCCAAGAGGCCAGCCUGGAGGGGCAUGGUGACCCCAAGAGGGGGAUAGACCACUGGAUUCCCAGGAGCUGAAAGGGAAACAAUAGGUGUCCAGCCAGCAAAAGGCAUUUGCCUCUGUCAAGAGAAUUACAAUUGAGAAAUCCUCAAGAAUUGUUGGGGUCGGGGUAUCUCCAAAACCCUCCCAAAAGUAUCCCACAAGAGAAGGCAGCAUCUUUAAACACACACCCAGAUCAGAAACAGAUUUGCCAUCUCAUGACAGCACUCAUCAAACAAGGCCUUUCUUGCCUCCCUUACCUCUCCCUACUUCCCUCUGUCCCCUCUGAAGGGCCAGAACCCUGGCUUAGCAAGCUGAGAGCAGAGAGAUGAAACAUGUGACUGGGCUGCUCACCUCCUGAGGCAGCCAUCUUGCUAUAGACCCAAAUAGUCUGAGGGGCAUAGCUUUAGAUUUAACUGAAAUUCAUACCAUUAGGUAGGUCAGGAGAUUUUCAUUACUAAAAAGAGAUAUUUUUUUUUGUUUCAGAUGACCAGGGAACUUUUAAACUAUUUAAUAAAGACCACCUUAUACGCAUACAAAUCAGAGGACUUGCUCUAGAUUUCAUUCAAAUAGCAGGGCAAAAACUAGCUCUGCAGAGUGGAUUUAAGUAGGGGGUGGGGGAAGAAGAAGAAAGCGGAGUUUGUUUUCAAUGCAGGCAGUUUAUUUGAGAUGUGAUCUCAGAAACCAGGAGUGAUGGAGCACGGGGAAUGAGACAGAGAAGGACAAGCCAGUAGGAAGGUGUAUUGGUGAAGUCACUGAGAUAGGCAAGGAUCCUCAAUCCUACUAGGACUUUUGAAGAGUAUAUGGAAUGCCUCCCAGAACUGGCCAUCCAGCGCAUGGAAGAUUGUGUCAUUUAUCUAUCAACUCCAGUUCUGCAUUGUUGAAAGUUCUACUUUAGGAUUGUUGUUGUUUUAAAUUACAUCUAAGUUAUAACUCUUUCAGUGUAGUAAUUACACACAUCUCUAUUUCCUUUCUUGUACAACCUUUUGGAGUUAUUUUUCCCUAGAGUUAAUAAUUGCUUCAUUUUUUUGUUUGCUUCAUAUUCCAUAAACCCCUCUAAUUUCCUGAUCAACAAUUCAUUAUUUUACAAAUGUGCAAACACAUCCUGUAAUUUAUUUGUUUCAUUUUCUCUUCUUGCUGACCUCCUUCCUAGGCCUCUACACCUUCAGCUGGAUGGUUGAUCUUGUCCUGCCCCUUGCUUGCUUCCUGAGCCUUUCUUGUGCCUCUCCCUGGAUCGAUAUCUGUGGAGUGGGCCCAGACCUUCCUAGUUCUUAGUUCAUUCUUUGGUUUAGUAGAAAAACAUCUUCCAGUUUCUUCAAAAAUAGUGCUGCAAGGUAAAAUUUCCAAUCCUUGCUGUUGUGAAAUGUUUUUGUUCCACCUUCACACUUGAUUGAUAGUUUAGUUAGGUAUAGAUUGCUAGGUCAAAAAGCAUUUUUAUGUGGAAUUUUAAAGGUAUCACUCUCUUGUUUUCUAGCUUCCAGGGAUGAUAUUUAGAAGCAACGUGACAUUCUAAGUUCACCCCUUAGUAUGUAAUCUGCUUCCCCCCUCACUCUCUAAAAACUUUAAUAUCUUUUCUUCAUCUCUGGAGUCUUAAAUUUCAUGAUGACAUGUACUAAGUACUCAGUGAGCCCUCUCAAUUCGGAAACUAAUUUCCCUAAAUUUUGGGGAAAAUAUCCUGUACUGUUUUUUAUUUAUUAUUAUUAAGACUUUAUUUUUUUAGAGCAGUUUAAGAUUCACAGCAAAGUUGAGGGGAAGGUACAGAGAUUUCUCACAUACUCCCUACCUCUACACAUGCAUAGCCUCCCUCAUUAUCAACAUUCCUCACCAGCAUGGUACAUUUGUUACAACUGAUGAACCUACAUUGACACAUCAUAAUCACCCAAGGUCUAGAGUUUACAUUACAGCUCACUCUUGGCCUUGUACAUUUUAUGGGCUGGACAGAUGUAUAAUGACAUUUAUCCAUCAUUAUGGUAUCAUAGAGAGUAUGUCCAUUGACCUAAAAAUCUUCUGUGUCCCACCUAUUCAACCCUCCCCUUUCCCAACCUCUGGCAACCACUGAACUUUUUACUGUCUCCAUAGUUUUUCCUUUUCAGGAAUGUUAUAUAGUUGGAAUCAUACUGUAUGUAGCCUUUUCAGAUGGUUUCUCUCACUUAGUACUGUGAAUUGUUUUUUUAAUAACAUUUUUUUCCUCUUUAUUUUCUCUAUUUCUUCUUUCUGAAGCUUUUCCUAGUAGGCUUUUAGACCUCUUGGAUCGAUCAUCUAAUUUUUUUCCCUCUUUUCUCUCUUAUAUUUCCAAUCUCUUUGUUCUACUUUCUGAGUUUCUUAAUGUUGUCUUUCACCUUCGUUUUGAGGGUACUUUUAAAACUUUUUAUUAUCUUAAAAAUUUUCCAAGAAAACAGAAUGGAGGUCCCUCAAAAAAUUAAAAAUAGAAUUAUCGUAUGAUCCAGAAAUUCAGCUUCUAGUUAUAUACCCACAAGAAUUGAAAGCAGAAUUUUGAAGAGAUACUUGUACACCCAUGUUUAUAGCAGCCUUAUUCAUGAUACCCAAGAGGUGGAAGCAACCUGAGGGCCCACCGAUGGAGGAAUGGAUAAGCAAAUUGUGCUAUAUACACAUGAGGGAAUAUCACUCAGCCUCGAAAAAGGAGAAAAUUCUGACACAUGCCACAACAUGCAUGAACCUUGAGGGCAUUAUGCUAAGUGAAAUAAACCAGAAACAAAAGGACAAAUAUUAUAUGAUUUCACUUAUAUGAGGCACCUAGAGUAGUCAAAUUUGUAGAUGCAGAAAGUAGAAUGGUGGGGGCCGGGGGCUGGAGGGAGAGGAGAAUGGGGAGUUAUUGUUUAAUGAGGACAGUUCAGUUUUGAAAAAUGAAGAGUUCUGGAGAUGGAGGGUGGUGAUGGUUGCACAACAGUGUGACUGUACUUAAUGCCAAUGAGCUGCACACUUAGAAAUGGUUAAGAUGGUGAAUUUUAUGCUGUGUGUGUUUUAUCACAAUUAAAAAGUUUUCCAAGAGCUCUUUUCUAUUCU
ensembl:lncRNA